CCUACGGAAGGCAGCAGUAGGGAAUAUUGGACAAUGGACGCAAGUCUGAUCCAGCCAUGCCGCGUGCAGGAUGACAGCCCUCUGGGUUGUAAACUGCUUUUAUAUGAGAAGAAACCCUCAGAUGCGUUUGAGGCUGACGGUAUCAUAUGAAUAAGGAUCGGCUAACUUCGUGCCAGCAGCCGCGGUAAGACGAAGGAUCCAAGCGUUGUCCGGAUUUACUGGGUUUAAAGGAUGCGUAGGCGGACACUUAAGCCAGUGGUGAAAUCCCAUAGCUCAACUAUGGAACUGCCAUUGGAACUGUGUGUCUUGAAUUCGGUUGAGGUAGAUGGAAUAUAACAUGUAGCGGUGAAAUGCUUAGAUAUGUUAUAGAACACCGAUUGCGAAGGCAGUCUACUAAGCCGACAUUGACGCUGAGGCAUGAAAGCGUGGGGAGCGAACAGGAUUAGAUACCCUGGUAGUCCACGCCCUAAACGUUGAUUACUCGCUGUUAGCGAUAUACUGUUAGCGGCUAAGCGAAAGCGUUAAGUAAUCCACCUGGGAAGUACGAUCGCAAGAUUGAAACUCAAAGGAAUUGACGGA
rnacentral:rRNA from 1 species